rnacentral:lncRNA from 1 species
AAGAGCUGUACAAUUAGAGGCAAGCUAGAUAGAAGAGCACACAAGAUAGAGUGAAAUUGGAAAGCAGCAUAUUUGCAUCAGAUAAGAACCAAGAGGGUGCUGGGACAUAGGUUCUCUCCGUCUUCAGGCAGAGAAAAUGCAUCCAAAAUCUACUUUUCAGGAGUGUAGCUGGAGAGUUUUUGUGCUGUGAACCAAACUUCCAGGAGCAAAAUAUCGAUACUGAAGAAUUUAAAUGGCAGAACCCAUCUCCCCACCCUGCAGUUUGCCUCAUGUGGAUGAAGAUGAGGAGAGCACUUGUUGCAGGCUCUUCCCUUUGGAAGCUCUUCAGUGUUAUAAAUCACAGUGUUUGCUUCUGUAUGCCUGGCAGAACUGGCCUCAUGUUGACCUUGUCCUUCUGGUGCUCUCCUUAGGAAUUUCACUUCCUAAAAUUUUAAGGCUUUGUGUGUGUUUGUUGGUGUAG